GCAGCUGUAGUAUAGUGGUCAGUAUACCAGUUUGUGGACUACAAAACACUGGCGACAUGAGUUCGAUUCUCAUCAGCUGCA